UUAAAGUGUUUAAUGAUCCUUUUUCAUUCAUUCUUUCAUGCGUGGGCGGUCACCUUUGGUUUGUUUGUUUGUUUUUUCAAAGUACCAGCUUCUAGUCUUAUUUAUUAGUUCAAUAGUUCUAUCACUUUCGAUUUUGUUAAUUUCUCCCUAAAUUUUUAGGAUCUCUAAUCUGCUUUUCUUCUGGGGGUUUUUAAUUUGUUCGCUUUCAAGUUUUUUUAUUUGCAUUUCCAAUUCAUUGAUCUCUGCCCUCCCUAGUAAACAAACGCCUUUGUUUUGAACAAAUUGGGUCCUCUGCCUGACUAUCAAAAUCCACAUCUGAGAAGGCUUGUAGUUAUUGGUUUGGGAGUGUGGGCCCACUGAGUACCCUGAACCUAGGAUAGCUGUCUGUUGGAAGACCUGCCCUUGCAGUUGGGGAUUGUUUUAGGUAGCUAUAGAAACCAAAAAGCUUUAAUAAAGCUUUUCUUUUUUUAAAGAAAAGCAAAGACAGAUCCUUCUCUCCCAAAUAGCCUUCCUGAGGAAACUGUGGAGGCCGCGGUUAUAUGCUUGAAUGAGGAAAUUGAGGCUCAGACUCGGGAGGCUAAAUGUUCUUCACUAGAAGCAUGGGAGGCAGCCAUGGAAUCCAGGUUCCCUGGGACUCCAGCUCCACACCCCUUACCGCAUCUUCAGCUCUGCCUCAAGUAGAAAACAGAGAUGCUCCAUUUCUGCAAAUGGACCUUUGGCAGCAGAAAGGUGACUCAUGGCAGCGUGUUGGGCCUUUCGGCAUCUUGGCAUGGCUACAGCUAUUAUCCAGUUCGAUGGUGAGUUUCUGGCUGAGUUUUUCCUCCUUUAGUUUCCAAACUUUAUCCUCUUAGAAGCCUGUAAUCUCCUUCAGAGACCUAGUGGCAGAGAUCUUCAACUCCCCCUGGCACAGGCCAGGUGGGAGAAAUCCUAUACCCUCUUCCCUCUUCUCCUUAAAUCCUUCCCUCUAUAUUAAUUAAAAUUACCAUACAUUUCCAGACUGACUUGGGUAUUUUGGGAUUUUCCCCUGGUGACCAAUUAAUUUAGAUUUUAAGUCACAAUCCUAAAAUUAUCUUUACACCGGUCUCUGAAUAGAAGUACCUCUAUUCCUGGAUUUAACCCAAACUGUGUGCUCUACCUGGAUUCCUGUGGAUAGUGUCAUCAAACAAAGGGAUUUAAGAGGAGCAGUUUUAACUGUAAGGCAGGUCUUUAGGGGCUUUAGCCCGAAGAGGCAGGCCCAACCAGCUCUGAAGGUCAGAACCUUUUCUUCCUCUUGCUGUCUUCUGCUAAAGACUUUGAACUUAAGAAAGCUAGCAUAGACAGGAAUAAAAGAAACCCUCCAACCCAAUCUAGGGAAAAGUAUAGGGCAAUCUUGAUUCCCUCUUCCCAAAUACCUCCCAAUCCAAACUUGUUAUUAAAUUCAUCUUGAAUUAAAUUACCCAUAGUCAGAUAAGAGGGGAACUAUCAUUUCAGGGGGACAUAUAGAGGGAGCAGAACUUAAGGUCAGUCAUUCAACCAUAAACAGUCCUCAUCAGACUCCUGCCAGGUGACUUGGGGUAGGGGAGAGGCUUGUCCCUCAGGAGGGUCCAUGCUUACCUGCCUGGGGUAUCUUCAACAUCAAUCAAUAGAGAAGACCUCCCCUCAGGCUAUCAGAAUUGGCCCAUUUCUUGGGAACCCCAUUUUUCAAAGACAGUCUCUCAGCAAGGGGUAUCUCUCUCCUUUUACCUCACCAGCAUCCAUAUUCCCUCUAUCCCUUCAAGUCCUCCAUUCCCUGUUAUAAAACCUUCCUUAUCCCCUGUACCUCUUCAAACUUCUAAAUUCAUUUAACUAUUACACAAUAAGAUCAGGAGUGAAACAAGGAUGCCCAUUAUCACCUCCAUUAUUUAUCAUUGUACUAGAAACACUAGCAGUAGCAAUUAGAGAAGAAAAAGAAAUUGAAGGUAUCAAAAUAGGCAAUGAGGAGACCAAGCUAUCACUCUUUGCAGAUGAUAUGAUGGUCUACUUAAAGAAUCCUAGAGAAUCAACUAAAAAGUGGAAAUAAUCAACAACUUUAGCAAAGUUGCAGGAUACAAAAUAAAACAACAUAAGUCAUCAGCAUUUCUAUGUAUUUCAAACACAUCUCAACAGCAAGAGUUAGAGAAAUUCCAUUUAAAAUCACCCUAGACAAUAUAAAAUACUUAGGAAUCUAUUUGCCAAGACAAAUACAGAAACUAUAUGAACACAACAAAAUACUUUUCACACAAUUAAAAAUAGAUCAAAUAAUUGGAAAAACAUUAAUUGCUCAUGGGUAGGAUGAGCUAACAUAAUAAAAAUUACAAUUUUACCCAAACUAAUUUACUUAUUUAGUGCCAUACUUAUCAAACUACCAAUAAACUUUUUUUCUGAAUUAGAAAAAAACAUAAAGUUCAUUUGGAAGAACAAAAGAUCAAGAAUAUCAAGGGAAAUAAUGAAAAAAAUGUGAAGGAAGGUGGUCUUGCAGUACCAGAUUUCAAAUUGUACUAUAAAGCAGUGGUCAUCAAAACAAUAUGGUAAUGGUUAAGAGACAGGAGGGAGGAUCAGUGGAAGAGACUUGGGGUAAGUGACUUCAGCAAGCCAAUCUAUGAUAAACCCAAAGAUAAACCCAAAGCUUUUGGGACAAAAACCCACUAUUUGACAAAAACUGCUGGGAAAAUUGGAAGACAGUAUGGAAGAGAUUCGUUUUAGAUCAAUAUCUCACACCCUACACCAAGACAAACUCAGAAUGGGUGAAUGACUUGAAUAUAAAGAAGGAAACUAUAAAUAAAUUAGGUGAACACAGAAUAGUGAACUUGUCAGAUCUGUGGGAAAGGAAAGCUUUUUAAGACUAAGCAAGAGUUAGAAAAAAUGACAAAAUGUAAAAUCAAUAAUUUUGAUUACAUUAAAUUAAAAAGGUUUUGUACAAAGAAAACCAAAUGCAACCAAAAUUAGAAGGGAAGCAGCAAAUUGGGAAAACAUCUUUAUAAUCAAAACCCCUGACAAAGGUCUAGUCACUCAAAUUUAUAAGGAGCUAAAUCGAUUGUACAAAAAAUCAAGCCAUUUCCUGAUUGGUAAAUGGGCAAGGGACAUGAAUAGGCAAUUUUCAGAUAAAGAAAUCAAAACUAUUAAUAAGCACAUGAAAAAAUGUUCUAAAUCUCUUAUAAUCAGAGAAAUGCAAAUCAAAUCAACUCUGAGGUAUCACUUCACACCUAGCAGAUUGGCUAAAAUGACAGCAAAGGAAAGUAAUGAAUGUUGGAGGGAAUGUGGCAAAAUUGGGACAUUAAGGCAUUGCUGAUGAAGUUGUGAAUUGAUCCAACCAUUCUGGAAGGCAUGGAACUAUACCCAAAGUGUGCUAAAAGACUGUCUGCCCUUUGAUCCAGCCAUAGCACUGCUGGGUUUGUACCCCAAAGAGAUAAUAAGGAAAAAAGACUUGUACAAGAAUAUUCAUAGCUGCGCUCUUUGUGGUGGCAAAAAAUUGAAAAUGAGGGAAUGCCCUUCAAUUGGAGAAUGGCUGAACCAAUUAUGGUAUAUGUUGGUGAUGGAAUACUAUUGUGCUCAAAGGAAUAAUCAACUGGAGGAAUUCCAUGGGAACUGGAACAACCUCCAGGAAUUGAUGCAGAGUGAGAGGAGCAGAACCAGGAGAACAUUGUACACAGAGACUGAUACACUGUGGUACAAUUGAAUGUAAUGAAGUUCUCUACUAGCAGCAAUGCAAUGAUCCAGAAUAAUUUGGAGGGACUCAUAAGAAAGAAUGUUAUCCACAUUCAGAGGAAGAACUAUGGGAGUAGAAACACAGAAGAAAAAUAAUUGCUUGAUCACAUGGGUUGAUGGAGAUAUGAUUAGGGAUGUAGACUCUAAAUGAUCACCCUAAUGCACAUAUCAAUAAUAUAGAAAUACGUCUUGAUCAAACUGUGUGUUGCCUAUGGGAGGGGGUGGGCGGAAGAGAGGGAAAGAGCAUGAUUCUUGUAACCGUGAAAAAAUAUUCUAAAUUAACUAAUUAAAUAAAAUAUUCCAAUAAAUAAAUUUUAAAAAGACAUAUCACUUAUACUAGAGUAAAAUUCAUGGAGGAAACAAAGUGAAAAAUGGCAUGCUUCAAUCUGCAUUCAGACUCUUUUAUCAGUUCCUUCUAGAACAGUGAAAAACCUUUUUUUGCCUGAGACUCUUGGAGCUGUCCUGGAUCCUUGAAUUGCUGAUAAUAGUUAACUCAUUCACAGUUGAUCAUUCUUAUGAUAUUGCUGUUACUGUUUCUAACAUUUCUCCUUGUUCUGCUCACUUCAGUUUGUUUUACUUUAUAUGUCUUUCCAGGUUUUUUUUAUGAUUUCUUGCUCAUCAUGUCUUAUGAUGCAGUAGUAUUUCACAUACAAUCAUAUGCCACAAUUCCUUAAUUGAUGGACAACCCUUCAGUUUCCAGUUCUUUCCCACCACAAAAAGAGCUGAUAUAAAUAGUUUAAUUAUUUAUUAUUUAUUUUAUUUUACCAGUUACAUGUAAUAGCAAAUUUCCACAUAAGUUUUCUGAAGGUAUAUGAUCCAAAUUAUCUCCCUUCUUCCCUUCCCUCCCUCUUCCUGGGGCUGGCAAGCAAUUCUAUCUGUGUUAUACCUGUAUUAUCAUGUGAAACACAUUGCCAUAUGUGAAAUUAGAAUCUGUUACCCUAACAACUACAAUUCCCAGCACCCCACUCUCCUCACUUUAUGUGCUGACAUAGAAAGGAUAUAAAUUUGGUGUAGCCCCACCUCUUGCUCUCUUGUCUUCCUGUUGGGGCAGGCUUUUUAAACAAGCAAGGAGAACUUAGUCACGUGGUGUUAAUUUUGUUAAGUAAUUUGUUUUUUAAAAACUUUUAUUUCCUUUUUAUUCCUUCUACUUUAAGUAAUUAUUAAUAAACUUUAUAAAAUUAAUACUCAGAAUUGCUGGAUAUUAAUUUAAGUCCUACACACAUUAUUCACUAUUGUAAGAGAAUAAUCAUACAAAACUCAAACCCUAAAAUAAAAACCCCAAUAAACUAAAGUGAAAAAUGCUUUGAUCUGCAUUCCGACUCCAACAGUUCUUGGGGGUAUGUACCAUUCUGUGACAUAAGUCCCUCAGAAUUGUCCAGUAUCAUUGUAUUGCUGAGAGUAGCUAGUCUGAUAUAAAUAUUUUUGUAAUAGUAAGAUCUACACUUUAAGAAAAUCACUUUAGAGAUUGAAUGGAAGAUGAAAUGGAGUGGGGAGAAACUUGAAGCAGGUAGACCCAUCAGUAGGCUUUUGCAAAAGACCAGGCAUGAAGUAAUGAGGAUAUGCAAUAGAAUGGUAGCAGUGUCAAAGGAAAGAAGGGGGCAUAUUUGAAAGAUGUUGCUAAGUCACAAUAAACAUCCUUUGGCAACAGAUGAAUAAGGGGAAUGAGGAGUUGAGGAUGACAACUAGGUUGCAAAUUUGAGUGUCAGGGAAUGGUGUUGUCUUCUACAGUAAUAGGGAACAUAGGGAGGAAGAGAGUUUAGGGAGAAAGAUGAGCUUAAUUUUGGACAUGUUGAGUGUAAGAUGUCUACUGGACACCCAGUUCAAGAUACCUUAAAGAAGCAGUUGGAGACUUGAGAUUGGGGGGUCAAUAGAAAGACUGGGGCAAGAUAGGUAGAUAUGAGAAUCAUCAGCAUAGACAUGGUAAUUAAAUUCAUGGGAAUUGCUGAGAUUACCAAGUGAAGUAGUUAAAGAGGGAGAAGAGAAGAGGGCCCAGGUCAAAAUUUAUUGGAUAUCUACAUUUAGUGGACAUGAUCUAGAUGAGGAUCCAAUAAAGAAGUGGUCAGUUUUGUGGAAAGAGAAUCAGUGGAGAGUGGUGUCUUGAAAACCUAGAGAAAAGAGUAUCAAGGAGAGGGCCAUAAUUAACAUUGUGUGUAAUUAGAAUAUUGGAUAUUAAUUUAAAUCCUACAAUUGUCAAAGGCUGCAGAGAGGUUGAAGAGAAUGAGGAUUGAGAAAAAAAUCCAUUGGAUUUGGCAGCUAAGAGAUCAUUAAUAACUUUGGAGAGUAGUUUUAGGGGAACAAUAAGGCUGAACUCUAGAUUGGAAGGGGUUAAGAAGAGUGAGAAGAGAGACUUUGUAGAUUGUCUGUUCAAGGAGCUCUGCUGAAAGGGACAAAAGAUAGUGUGGAUGGAAGGAUCAAGUGAGGGCAUGUUUGGAGGCAGUGGGAAUGAGCCAACAGACAGAGUUUGAAAAUAAGAGGCAGGGUGGGAAUGUCAUAGAGGGAAAUCUGUUGAAAGAGACAGGAAAGAAUCACAUUGCUUGAGAGGUGAAGGGGUUGGCUUGGGCAGGUAGAUGGCAAAGUGGAGAAUGCUGGACCUGGAGUAAGGAAGACUCAUCUUCCCAAGUUCAAAUCUAGUCUCAGUUGCUAGCUGUGUGAUCCCAAACAAAUCACUUAACCCAAUGUGCCUCAGUUUCCUCAUCUGUAAAAUGAUCAGAAAGGGCAAACUUCUCUGGUAUCUUUACCAAGAAAACUCCAAAUGGGGUCAUGAAGAGUGGGACAGGACUGAAUUGACUAAAAAAGAAAAUAAUAGCAACUAGUGUCAGACACUGUGCCUCAAUAAGUAUACAAAUAAGAAAAAGAAAAAGAAAGACUGUUGCUGUUCUCAAGGAAUUUACAAUCUAAAGGGGAAGACAAUAUACAAAAGGAAGCUGAAAGGGGCGAGGCACCAGAAUAUGAUGGGACUUGAUGUUCAGUGGAAUAGAAACCAAGCAGAGCUGGUGAUGGAAAAUGGAGUUAACUGGAAAAUUCUGAAAAGUUUAGAGCUCUAUAGAGGGAGGAAUUUAUUGUUCCACCUUCAAACUUUCCAAUCAGAGAGGAGAGGCAACUGAGGGAGUUUAAGAAGGUGUUAGGUAUCAAAAAUUGAGUCAGUUAUCAAGGUGAUGGGAUUUCUGGUGACCAGCUUAUCUUGAAUGAAGCAUGAUGUUCAGUGGAAUAAAAACCAAGGAAAACUAUUGAUGGAAAAUGAGUUAAUUAGGAUCUAGCACUCUUUUGACUCAUUACUCUAGCAUCCCUGUCAAUUAAGGACAAGAGAUUAGCCUGGUGGUAGAACUGUGAACUGAUACAACCAUUCUGGAGAGAAAUAUGGAAAGAGGCUCAAAGGGCCACAAAAUUAUGUAUACUUUGACCCAGUAAUUCUACUACUGGGUCUGUAUCCCAAAGAGAUCAGGGAUAAGGGAAAAGGACCUCUCUAUACCAAAAUAUUUUUAGCAGCUCUUUUUUUAGUGGCAAAGAUUUGAAAACAGGGGUUAUUUGUCACUUUGAGGAAGGGAUGCACAAGUUAGGGCAUAUGGUUGUAAUGGAAUAUUAUCGUGUCAUAAGAAACAAUGAAAAGGAUGUUUCAGAAAAACCUGGAAAAUCUUAUGUGAACUGAUGCAAACUGAAGUGAUAAGAAACAAGAGAACAAUGUAUAUGGUAACAGAAAAUAUAAAAUGUAAGGAUUAAACUAUUUUCAGCAAAGAAAGUCUCUAAGAUAACCACAAACAACUCAUGAUGAAAAUGUCAUCCACAGCCAAAGAAGGAACUGUUGGAAUCUGAGUGCAGAACAAAGCAUGCCAUCUUCCAUUAUAUUUCCUUCAUGAGAUUUCUAUUGUAUUAUGAUAUGUAUCUUCUAUCAUGACAUAAGCAAUAUGGAAGUAUAUAUUAUAGGAAAGUACAAGUGUAACUUAUACCAAAGUAUUCACCACCUCAGGAAGGGAGAAAACCUAAAUUUUAAAAUAUCAAAGAAAUUUGUCAAAAAUUGUUUCUGCAUGCUACAUAAAAUAAAGAAAAUUAGGAAAUAAUAAAAUAAAAUAAAGAAAAAAAGGAGAUUGGUCUGGGAUCACUGUUCUUGAUGAAACCAUGCCUAUGCCUCUUAGUGAUUAUUUCUUCCUUUCCUACUAAACCAUCUCUUUAAUAAUAUGUUCUGGACUUUUCCAGAAAUCAAAAUUAAGCUAGCUGCCCCAUCAUUUGCAAGCUCCACUCUCCUUUUUAAAAAAUCUCUUAUAGCAACAAAAGAAGAAAAAGAAUGGAAAGAAUGAAAACAAGCAAUGAGGAAACAAAAUUAUCAUUCUCUGAAGUUGAUAAGAUGUUAUACUUAGAGAAUCCUAGAGAAUCAACUAAAAAUCUAGUUGAAACAAUUAAUGACUUUAGUAAAAUUACAGUAUAUAAAAUAAACUCCCACGAAUCAACAGCAUUUCUAUAUAUUCCAGCAGGGAAAAAAAUAUAUAUUUUAAAAUUAAUUUAUUUAGUCAAUUUAGAACAUUAUUUCUUGGUUACAAUCAGAACCUAUUUCCAUGUUGUUGUUUGCACUAGGAUGUUCAUUUAGAGUCAACAUCCCCAACCAUAUCCCUUCGAUCCAUGUAUUCAAGCAGUUGUUUUUCUUCUGUGUUUCUACUCCCACAGUUUUUCCUCUGAAGGUGGAUAGUGGUUUUUCUCAUAGAUCCCUCCAAGUUGUUUAGGAUUACUGCAUUGCCACUAAUGGAGAAGUCCAUUACAUUCGAUUGUACCACAGUGUAUCAGUCUCUGUGUACAAUGUUCUAGCAGGAAAAUAUAUAAAGAAAAAUUCCACUAAAAAAACUGUAGACGAUAUAAAAUACUUGGGAGUCUAUCUGCCAAGUCAAACUCAGGAACUAUGUGACCAUAACUACAAAACACUUUUCUCAUAAAUAGAGAUAGAUAUAAACAACUGGAGAAAUAUUAAUUGCUCAUGGAAAGGCUGAUCCAAUAUAAUAAAAAUGGCAGUUCUACCAAAAUUAAUUCAUUUAUUCAGUACUAUACCAAUCAAAUGACAAAAAAAUUUAUAGAGCUAGAAAAAAUCAUAACAAAAUUCAUCUGGAAGAACAAAAAAUCAAGUAUAUAAAGAAGUAGUUAGGUGGCUCAUUGGAUUGAGAGCCGGACCUUGGGAGGUCCUGGGUUCAAAUUUGGCCUCAGAUGCUUCCUAACUGUGCAACCCUGGGCAAGUCACUUAACCCUAGUUACCAAGGCCUUACUGCUCUUCUGCCUUAUAAUCAAUACACAGUAUUAAUUCUAAGAUAGAAGGAAAAGGUUUUUAAAAAAAGAAUAUCAAGGGAAUCAGUGACAAAAUAUAUGAAGGAAGGUAGUCUAGCAAUACCAGAUUUCAAAUUGUAUUAUAAAGUGAUAAUCAUCAAAACAAUGUGGUGCAAUAGAUUAGGUAUAUAAUAUACAGUAGGAAAUGUCAUAAUCUAGUAUUUGAUAAACUCAAAAAUUCAAGUCUUUGGGACAAGAAAUCACAAAAAUUGCUGGGAAAACUAGACAGCAGUUUGACAGAGACUGGGUAUAGACCAACAUCUAAUACUGAAUACCAAGAUAAGGCCAAAAUGGGUAUAUACAAGAUUUAGACAUAAAGAAUGAUAUUAUAAGUAAUUAGUGGAGCGUAGAAAAUUUUACCAGUCAGAUCAAUGGAUGAGGGAAGAAUUUAUAAUCAUGUGAAAGGUAGAGAAGAUCAUAGGAUAUAAAAUGGAUAAUCUUGAUUACAUUAAUUUAAAAAAUUUUGCACUAAUAAAACCAAUGCAGCCAAGACUAAAAAGAAAUCAGGAAACUGGGAAAUUUUUUUUACAGGGAGUUUUCCCAAUAAAAGCUUAAUUUCUCUCAAAUAUGGAGAAAACUGAGUCAAAUUUAUAAGACUAUAAGUCAUCCUCUCAUUGAUAAGGAUUUGAACUGGCAGUUAGCAGAAGAGAAAUCAAACUAGAGUCAUAUGAAAAAAUGCUCUAAAAUACUCUUGAUUAAGAAAUGCAAAAUAAAACAAUGCUGAGAUACUAGCUCACAUCUAUUAGAUUGGCUAAUAUGACAGAAAAGGAAAAUGACAAAUGUUUGAGGGAAUAUAGGAAAAUUGGGACACUAAUAUGAUUUAUAUGAAAAUGACAAAUGACAGGGUUGUAAACUGAUCCAACUAUACUGGAGAGCAAUUUGGAAUUAUGCCCCAAAGGGGUACAAAAUUGUGCAUACCUUUUGACCUAGAAAUACUACCUUGAGAUAUACUAGGUCUAUAUCUCAAGGAAAUUAAAGGAAAAAAUAAAGGACCUAUAUGUAAGAAAAAUGUAUAGCAGCUCUUUGUGUGUGUGUAUGUAGGCAAAGACUUGGAAAUUGAGGAUAUGCUCAUUAACUGGAAAGGGGCUGAACAAAUUUUGGUAUAUGAUUAUGAUGGAAUACCAUUGUAUUAUAAGAAAUGACCAGCAGGAUACGUUCAGAAAAAUCUGAGAAGACAUAUGAACUGAUGCAAAGUAAAUAGAAUUAGGAGAACAUUUUACACAGUAAUUAAAAUACUGUAUGAUGAUCAACUGUGAGUGACUUAGUUAUUCUCAAUGCAGUGAUACAAAACAAGGACUUAAAAUGAAAAAUGUUAGCCAGCUCCAGAGAAAGAACUUAUGGAGACCGAAUGCAAAUUGAAUCAUAAUUUUAUCACUUUAUUUUUCCUGACUUUUUUUGCAACAUGGAUAAUAUGGAAAUAUGUUUUGCAUGAUUUCACAUUCCUAAUGACAUCACAUUUGACAGUAUAAUUGAUAUUGCAUUUCUUGCUUUCAGAAAGGAUGGGGGAGGGAUGGAAGGGAGAGAAUUUGGAACUCAAAAUGUUAAAAAAAAAGAAUGUUAAAAUAAAUAAUAAAAUUUAAAAACUAAAAUUAGGUUAUUUGCCU